GGGUCGAUGCCCGAGCGGUUAAUGGGGACGGACUGUAAAUUCGUUGAUAAAAUGUCUACGCUGGUUCAAAUCCAGCUCGGCCCA
rnacentral:tRNA from 4 species